GGUUAAGCGACUAAGCGUACACGGUGGAUGCCCUGGCAGUCAGAGGCGAUGAAGGACGUGCUAAUCUGCGAUAAGCGUCGGUAAGGUGAUAUGAACCGUUAUAACCGGCGAUUUCCGAAUGGGGAAACCCAGUGUGAUUCGUCACACUAUCAUUAACUGAAUCCAUAGGUUAAUGAGGCGAACCGGGGGAACUGAAACAUCUAAGUACCCCGAGGAAAAGAAAUCAACCGAGAUUCCCCCAGUAGCGGCGAGCGAACGGGGAGCAGCCCAGAGCCUGAAUCAGUGUGUGUGUUAGUGGAAGCGUCUGGAAAGGCGCGCGAUACAGGGUGACAGCCCCGUACACAAAAAUGCACAUGCUGUGAGCUCGAUGAGUAGGGCGGGACACGUGGUAUCCUGUCUGAAUAUGGGGGGACCAUCCUCCAAGGCUAAAUACUCCUGACUGACCGAUAGUGAACCAGUACCGUGAGGGAAAGGCGAAAAGAACCCCGGCGAGGGGAGUGAAAAAGAACCUGAAACCGUGUACGUACAAGCAGUGGGAGCACGCUUAGGCGUGUGACUGCGUACCUUUUGUAUAAUGGGUCAGCGACUUAUAUUCUGUAGCAAGGUUAACCGAAUAGGGGAGCCGAAGGGAAACCGAGUCUUAACUGGGCGUUAAGUUGCAGGGUAUAGACCCGAAACCCGGUGAUCUAGCCAUGGGCAGGUUGAAGGUUGGGUAACACUAACUGGAGGACCGAACCGACUAAUGUUGAAAAAUUAGCGGAUGACUUGUGGCUGGGGGUGAAAGGCCAAUCAAACCGGGAGAUAGCUGGUUCUCCCCGAAAGCUAUUUAGGUAGCGCCUCGUGAAUUCAUCUCCGGGGGUAGAGCACUGUUUCGGCAAGGGGGUCAUCCCGACUUACCAACCCGAUGCAAACUGCGAAUACCGGAGAAUGUUAUCACGGGAGACACACGGCGGGUGCUAACGUCCGUCGUGAAGAGGGAAACAACCCAGACCGCCAGCUAAGGUCCCAAAGUCAUGGUUAAGUGGGAAACGAUGUGGGAAGGCCCAGACAGCCAGGAUGUUGGCUUAGAAGCAGCCAUCAUUUAAAGAAAGCGUAAUAGCUCACUGGUCGAGUCGGCCUGCGCGGAAGAUGUAACGGGGCUAAACCAUGCACCGAAGCUGCGGCAGCGACGCUUAUGCGUUGUUGGGUAGGGGAGCGUUCUGUAAGCCUGUGAAGGUGUACUGUGAGGUAUGCUGGAGGUAUCAGAAGUGCGAAUGCUGACAUAAGUAACGAUAAAGCGGGUGAAAAGCCCGCUCGCCGGAAGACCAAGGGUUCCUGUCCAACGUUAAUCGGGGCAGGGUGAGUCGACCCCUAAGGCGAGGCCGAAAGGCGUAGUCGAUGGGAAACAGGUUAAUAUUCCUGUACUUGGUGUUACUGCGAAGGGGGGACGGAGAAGGCUAUGUUGGCCGGGCGACGGUUGUCCCGGUUUAAGCGUGUAGGCUGGUUUUCCAGGCAAAUCCGGAAAAUCAAGGCUGAGGCGUGAUGACGAGGCACUACGGUGCUGAAGCAACAAAUGCCCUGCUUCCAGGAAAAGCCUCUAAGCAUCAGGUAACAUCAAAUCGUACCCCAAACCGACACAGGUGGUCAGGUAGAGAAUACCAAGGCGCUUGAGAGAACUCGGGUGAAGGAACUAGGCAAAAUGGUGCCGUAACUUCGGGAGAAGGCACGCUGAUAUGUAGGUGAAGUGAUUUACUCAUGGAGCUGAAAUCAGUCGAAGAUACCAGCUGGCUGCAACUGUUUAUUAAAAACACAGCACUGUGCAAACACGAAAGUGGACGUAUACGGUGUGACGCCUGCCCGGUGCCGGAAGGUUAAUUGAUGGGGUCAGCGCAAGCGAAGCUCUUGAUCGAAGCCCCGGUAAACGGCGGCCGUAACUAUAACGGUCCUAAGGUAGCGAAAUUCCUUGUCGGGUAAGUUCCGACCUGCACGAAUGGCGUAAUGAUGGCCAGGCUGUCUCCACCCGAGACUCAGUGAAAUUGAACUCGCUGUGAAGAUGCAGUGUACCCGCGGCAAGACGGAAAGACCCCGUGAACCUUUACUAUAGCUUGACACUGAACAUUGAGCCUUGAUGUGUAGGAUAGGUGGGAGGCUUUGAAGUGUGGACGCCAGUCUGCAUGGAGCCGACCUUGAAAUACCACCCUUUAAUGUUUGAUGUUCUAACGUUGACCCGUAAUCCGGGUUGCGGACAGUGUCUGGUGGGUAGUUUGACUGGGGCGGUCUCCUCCUAAAGAGUAACGGAGGAGCACGAAGGUUGGCUAAUCCUGGUCGGACAUCAGGAGGUUAGUGCAAUGGCAUAAGCCAGCUUGACUGCGAGCGUGACGGCGCGAGCAGGUGCGAAAGCAGGUCAUAGUGAUCCGGUGGUUCUGAAUGGAAGGGCCAUCGCUCAACGGAUAAAAGGUACUCCGGGGAUAACAGGCUGAUACCGCCCAAGAGUUCAUAUCGACGGCGGUGUUUGGCACCUCGAUGUCGGCUCAUCACAUCCUGGGGCUGAAGUAGGUCCCAAGGGUAUGGCUGUUCGCCAUUUAAAGUGGUACGCGAGCUGGGUUUAGAACGUCGUGAGACAGUUCGGUCCCUAUCUGCCGUGGGCGCUGGAGAACUGAGGGGGGCUGCUCCUAGUACGAGAGGACCGGAGUGGACGCAUCACUGGUGUUCGGGUUGUCAUGCCAAUGGCACUGCCCGGUAGCUAAAUGCGGAAGAGAUAAGUGCUGAAAGCAUCUAAGCACGAAACUUGCCCCGAGAUGAGUUCUCCCUGACUCCUUGAGAGUCCUGAAGGAACGUUGAAGACGACGACGUUGAUAGGCCGGGUGUGUAAGCGCAGCGAUGCGUUGAGCUAACCGGUACUAAUGAACCGUGAGGCUUAACCUU
rnacentral:rRNA from 1 species